rnacentral:tRNA from 1 species
GUACCUCAGUUGGUAAGGUGCCGGACUCUUUCCCAGAGGGUCCGGGGUUCGACUCCCGCUA